AGCAGCCGCGGUAAUUCCAGCUCCAAUAGCGUAUAUUAAAGUUGUUGCAGUUAAAAAGCUCGUAGUUGAAUUUCGGGAUCAGCGCGUCGGUCGUGCCUCCGGUAUGCACUGGCGCCGCUGGUUUCUCCCUUCUGAGGAACCGUGAUGUCAUUAAUUUGGUGUUGCGGGAAAUCAGGACUGUUACUUUGAAAAAUUAGAGUGUUUAAAGCGGGCACGCGCUUGAAUACAUUAGCAUGGAAUAACGAAAUAGGACGUUCGAUCUUAUUUUGUUGGUUUCUAGGAUUGACGUAAUGAUUAAUAGGGAUAGUUGGGGGCAUUAGUAUUCAAUUGUCAGAGGUGAAAUUCUUGGAUUUAUUGAAGACUAACUACUGCGAAAGCAUUUGCCAAGGAUGUUUUCAUUAAUCAAGAACGAAAGUUAGGGGAUCGAAGACGAUCAGAUACCGUCGUAGUCUUAACCAUAAACUAUGCCGACUAGGGAUCGGAUGAUGUUAAUUUUAAUGACUCAUUCGGCGCCUUAAC
rnacentral:rRNA from 1 species